CUUGCAGUUGAAGCGCUAGCUAGCGUGACAGAUUCCUCGCGGACCCAACAAAAUUGACAAGCAAUUCAACAAUGUCGUUAGCUGGCUAACAACAUUCUGCGACUCCUUAGCUUUUAAGAAAGAUUAUUGAGUGUGGAUAGUUCGUUUUUUAUGCAGCCAUUGACAAUAUCUGCUACCCACUCCUGAACCGAGGUAAAAUCAGAUUCAGGCAAUGACGGGUUUGUUUGGGUCAGUGACGCGGUGCCUGGUCCCAGCCAUGACCUGGAGUUAGAGAGUGACUCAAUCAGGAGGGAGCACAAACGAAAAGGACUUCUCAUCUCCCUCAUAUGAACACAUUCUCAGGCAUUAUAUUGGUUGAAAAUCACUGUCAUGGUUCGCUUUGAAGAUUUUCACAUGGGAAAAGGCAGACAGAUGGCCAACCAAAGACCGAGUCACUCUAACAAAGCAAUUCUACCUCUUCUCAGGCCUCUGAGUAGUUGUGAUGGUUGAUGAAUUGUACUGUAUUCACAAUGGAGGAAUAAGGGAGGUACAUUGUUUCAGUUUUUUUGUAUAAAACCAUACAUCACAAUAAAGUGUUUGGCAUCACCA